GUAAUUUUUUAUCUUGUAUUUUUCUCUUUUUAUCUUUUUUGUGACAUUUAUUUAAUUGAUAUUUUUGUAUUCGUUCUUCUAUGCAGCUCGAUUUAAGGAAAUGAAAAAACGUCAAGAAUUAUAUAUUUUUCGUGAAAGCUUAUCACUUAACAAUAUAUGCAAGACAAAAUUAAAUUUAUGCAAGUUGGUUAUAAUUGGUCAAGAAGGAAAUUCGUUAUCAUUGAACGAUCUAUCGAAACUCGUUUAUUUGCAAGAAUUAUGGCUGGUCGAGUGCAAUUUAAAAGAUAUAUCCUCGUUGAAAGAAUGUACGAAAUUGGAAAAGCUUUACGUUUAUUCGAACGAAAUCGAACGAAUUCCAAAUCUAUCCAAAAUUACUGGGCUUGCAAUUAUUUCGUUAUCGGGAAACAAGAUUGAUCGUUUAACGGUAUUAAAUGAUAUCUCUCAUAUUAUUUUUAAAUAAUAUCGGAAGAUAUAUAUUUGCCAAUAUUUAUGAAAGAUAAAAUAAUCAAAUUAACACGGGGAGAAACAAAAUUGGUAAUAAUAAUUCGAUAAUUAAUUAUUAUUCGAACGAUAUAUAUAUAUAAAUAUAGAAUAUCGACAAGUUGGAAAACUUAGAGGAACUUAAUGUGGCCGAUAACAAAUUGAAAAGGUUGCCAAAUAUUUUCACGAAAAAUUAUAACUUGAAAUACAUCAAUCUGGCGGGACAUGAAAAAUUUACGGCCAGUGACAAAAUUAGAGUCAGUUGUUUUGAAUGAUCCACUUUACGGUGACUGUCCAUUAGCACGUCUUUGCAAUUAUCGCUGUUACGUUUUUUAUUGGCUUCCACAAAUUAGCAGACUCGAUCAUUAUCCAAUAGACGAUGCGGAAAGACAUUGGAUCGAUACUUUUUUCAAGUAUCCUUCUUACAUUUUUUAUUAUUCACUUGUGUGUGUGUGUAGAUAAAAAAACAAAAUCUUUUAAACAAAAUUACAGGAAGAAUAUGAUGCGUUGUAAAAUUGUAUUGCACGAUAAUAUGAAUGUUUAUUUGAAAUCUUUGAAAGACAUGCACGAAAAAUUUCAAGACAACGAGAAACACUUAAAACAUUUGCUUCGCGAUAUGAACAUUUUCAAAUUGCAGGUUUAAUAAUAUUUAAUAAUAAUUAAAGGAUUGUAUGAAUAAAUGUCGAUUGUAAAAUGCUGCAAUUUUUAAUCUGAAUUAGUCUAAUUUAGAAACGAAUAAAGAAUUAAUUGCAUCGGAAAAAGGAACGUUGUCUUUGAUGGAAUAUCAUGAAAAAAUAUUAAAGGAAAGUGAAGAAAUGGCUUCGAUAUAUUUUCAAGUGAGAACACUUUUAUCAUGCGAUUAAAUUUCAAUUUUUAUUUAAUUUUUUUGUUUUUUUUUUCGAGUUAGAUCACUUGUCGACAAUUAAAAUUGCAUAUUCGUUACUGCGAUAAUGUUCGUCUACGAGAAUAUAAAAACAAAGGGGAAGAUUUAAUGAAAAUUUGUCAGAUUACAUUGGAAGAAUCUUUGUGUUCUUUAACAAAAAAGUAUGAAACGUUUUAUCAUUUGUCUCAUUAAUAUUUCUAUUCAUUGUUUAUUUAAAAGUUAGUAAAUCUUUGAUAGGGAAACCAAUAUAACAGGAAUACGUUUGUAUCGAGUCACAGAGGUUUUUCACAAGGAAAUAAACGAGUAUCGUAAUUGGAAUAAUCAAAUCGAUACUUUGCAUGAAAAGGAGAAAAGUUUGAAGCUUUUAGCCAGCAUGCCAGGAGUUCGAAGUAUUCGUGAAUGGCCAAUGAACGUCCUUAAAAGCGAAUUUUAUAAUCAAGUUAACUAUAUUUCCAAUCGAUUUUUCAUCCAAUAUUAAUUAGAUUAUUUUUUUUUUUAGCGAUUUGCUAUAGAAUGAAUUUAGUACUAUACAAAAAUUCAACAAUUUAAUAAUAAAACUUAAAACUUUUAACAAUAAAAUAAUCUUAAAACUUUUUCAACAUCAAACAUACUUGUUUUUAAUAUUAUUGAAUAUUUUGAUCCUUAAUAAAAUAUAGUUUCUUUAUUGGUUCGCUAUCAAAUUAAUUUAGU